rnacentral:rRNA from 1 species
GAGUUUGAUCAUGGCUCAGGAUGAAUGCUGGCUGUAUGGAUAAGGCAUGCAAGUCGAACGGCCCGCAAGGGCAGUGGCAGACGAGGUAGUAACACGUACGAACGUACUCCAAAGUCGGGCAUAGCCAACCGAAAGGUUGGGUAAUUCCCGAUAGUCCCUACGGGGUAAAGAUUUAUCGCUUUGGAAGCGGCGUGCGUAAUAUCAGCUUGUUGGUAAGGUAAUGGCUUACCAAGGCUACGACGUUUAGGGGAGCUGAGAGGCUGACCCCCACCGAUGGGACUGAGACACGGCCCAUACUCCUACGGGAGGCCGCAGUCGAGAAUCUUCCGCAAUGGACGCAAGUCUGACGGAGCGAUACAGCGUGGUAGAUGAAGUGCUUCGGCACGUAAAUACCUUUUAUGAGGGACGAAAUUAUUGACGGUACCUCAUGAAUAAGGGGCUCCUAACUCUGUGCCAGCAGGAGCGGUAAUACAGAGGCCCCAAGCAUUAUCCGGAAUCACUGGGCGUAAAGGGUGUCAAGGCGGUCAUAUUAGUCUUCCGUUAAAUCCAGGAGCUCAACUUCUGGCCCGCGGGAGAAACGGUAUGACUAGAGG